rnacentral:tRNA from 1 species
UGCGGGAUGGAGUAGUCUGGUAGCUCGUCGGGCUCAUAACCCGAAGGUCGUUGGUCAAAUCCAGCUCCCUCUACCA